AACCAUGGCCAAACCUCCAAAGCCUGAGCUUGUCAGAUCUCAGAAGCUAAGCAAGUUCAGGUCUGGUUAGUAGUUGGAGCAGCAGAGGCAAAACUGUUGCUCUGUGUG
rnacentral:rRNA from 1 species